rnacentral:rRNA from 1 species
UACGGGGGGGGCAAGCGUUGUUCGGAAUUACUGGGCGUAAAGGGCGCGUAGGCGGCCUGUUAAGUCACACGUGAAAUCCCUCGGCUCAACCGGGGAACUGCGUGUGAUACUGGCGGGCUUGAAUUCGGGAGAGGGAUGUGGAAUUCCAGGUGUAGCGGUGAAAUGCGUAGAUAUCUGGAGGAACACCGGUGGCGAAGGCGGCAUCCUGGACCGGUAUUGACGCUGAUGCGCGAAAGCCAGGGGAGCAAACGGG